ensembl:lncRNA
AUAUAAAAAUCAAAACACUGGAAUUUAAGAACGAUCAAAAUUUGUAAUCUGGGGAGAAAAAAAAAAAACAAAAGAAAAAAAAAAGAGGAAUUGAACUGGGACCAUAAACAAGUAUACAACUGACCUUAAAUCUUCCUUGCUAUCUGUUUCUGAUGCUGUUUUUUUUAGUGGGGCUUGGUUUCCUAUCCUUUAUGAACCUUAUUAGCAGCAUUUAUAUGGUCUGUAUAUGCUUGUAUUUUUCUCCAACACACUAUAGUUUGCACAUUUGUGGGUGCAUAUAUCCGCACAAAAAUGGGAGUAUAGAAAGCUCAGGAGCUACUAGUGGAAGUUAUUAUUAAGCUAAUAUGUUAAUGGUAAUUUAUGUGCAGUAAAUAGAUAUUUUAUCCAGGUAAAUCAGAUCUCCUCGGACAACAGAGAAGACGGUUUUUCAUCCAAACAUCCCCAGGACCAAUUUAUGGCUUCUGCAGCCCACUAGCAGGUGGUUUGUCUGCAUGAGAUCAUACAGCAGCAGCCAUCCAAAGGAUUUCUGGUACCCCGCACUAAAUCAGAGUGAUCUGCUUUAGUUUCUUCAUGCCUGCUUUCUCACAUUCACAUGAAGAGCCCACACAACCAGGGAGAGCUGGCUGACUAAUGGGUGAUAGAGAGGAAACAGUGACAGGCAGGAAGGCAGCAGUGGGGCACAUGGGUCCAGCGGAGAGUGGGAUGCGGGGGCUCGCCCCUAGCUGCUUGUUGCAUCUUCCCAGGGUCAUCAUUUGCACUCCUGAACACAUUUCAUCUGCCAGCUCUGCUGUAACCCCACAGCUUGAAAUUCAACUUGGUGUCUCAAAUGGGUAUUGGAUGUAGUAAGGUGGCUGUUGUGCGUGAAGUGUCACACAUUGUUAAGGCUUGUGCUCUAAUUAACUCAAAGUGGCAUAGACCAGGAUUGUAUAAUUGUGUCCUUAUUAACACGUGAGGCUUGACAGGAAUUACUGGGCUUGGUUAAUGUUAAUGUUCAACAAGUUAAUUUGAUGUAAGUGAAUCAAUAUCUUUCCCAAUGUCAUGUUAAGUUAAACAUACAUAAAAUAUCAAAAAAAAAAAAAGAAAAGGCUAACUUUUCUUCUUAUUGAGGCUGAUGUGCCUUAGGUUUCUUUAAAAGGAAACAAAAGUAGGAAUCCUUACCUAUCCAUAGCAUUUGAGAUCAGAUCAUCUGAGGCUUUCUCUCUCCAAACUGACGUGCCUCUGAUACUUUACUACAGAGUUAGACAACAACUUAGCCUCUGAGAAGCGUUGUUUCCUAUGUGCAUGUUUUGAGGUGUAAAUUCUGUUGAAUGCUCCAUAGCAGUUUUGUAGAUCUGGUGCUCACAUAUCCCUUGUCAUUAAUCCUGGAAAUAAUUUCUAAAGCUGGAAUUCCAUUUUUAAGUUCAUCCUCCUCUCAGGACAGACUGGUUAAAUCCACUACCUGAGUUCCUGCUCAAAAGCCAGCAUUGCUUGCAGGUGGAGACAUCAACACUGUGUACCAACGUUAGCUCAGUCUUCCCAAAAAGCACAGGGAUUGCUCGGCUGAGUCCAGCUCCAUCAAAGUAGUUUUAUGUGGUUUUAAAAACAGCCCAGUGACACGUAGAGGAAACAUGCAGCAGCCAAUUUGCUCCUUUUGCAUAGCUGGGAGCCAGAGGUUGGAGAAUAAAUUCAGUCUACAGUGGGUAAAUAUGGGGAGG